GUCAGUGUGGUGUACUGGUUUGCACUUUGAACUAGGACUCCAGAGACCAGGGUUUGAAACCCCACUAGGCCA